GAGUUUGAUCGUGGCUCAGGAUGAACGCUGGCGGCGUGCUUAACACAUGCAAGUCGAACGAAGCGCCUUGGACAGAUUCUUCGGAUGAAGUUUUGGUGACUGAGUGGCGGACGGGUGAGUAACGCGUGGGUAACCUGCCUCAUACAGGGGGAUAACAGUUAGAAAUGGCUGCUAAUACCGCAUAAGCGCACGGUACUGCAUGGUACAGUGUAGAAAAAUCCGGUGGUAUGAGAUGGACCCCGGUCUGAUUAGCUAGUUGGUGGGUAAUGGCCCACCAAGGCGACGAUCAGUAGCCGGCCUGAGAGGGUGAACGGCCACA
rnacentral:rRNA from 1 species